rnacentral:tRNA from 1 species
GCUGCUGUAGCUCAGUGGUAGAGCACCCGCUUGGUAAGCGGGAGGUCGAGAGUUCAAUCCUCUCCGGCAGCACCA